GAGGAAGAUGGAAGGGGAGGAAGGAAGAUUGUAGAGCUGGAAGACAAAAGACUGCAGAGGGAUUUAGUGGUUGUUAAAAUAAGCAAUAUGUUUUAAAAUGUAACACUGAACAAGAACCAGAACACCUCAGAGCACAGGCUUCUACCAGGAUCCACCGGUGGGCGCUGCACAAACUGAUGGUUUCCACCUUCCAAAAGAAAACUUGCA